UAGGGAAUCUUCCACAAUGGACGCAAGUCUGAUGGAGCAACGCCGCGUGAGUGAAGAAGUCUUCGGAUCGUAAAGCUCUGUUGUUGGUGAAGAAGGAUAGAGGCAGUAACUGGUCUUUAUUUGACGGUAAUCAACCAGAAAGUCACGGCUAACUACGUGCCAGCAGCGCGUAAUACGUAGGUGGCAAGCGUUGUCCGGAUUUAUUGGGCGUAAAGCGAGCGCAGGCGGAAUGAUAAGUCUGAUGUGAAAGCCCACGGCUCAACCGUGGAACUGCAUCGGAAACUGUCAUUCUUGAGUGCAGAAGAGGAGAGUGGAACUCCAUGUGUAGCGGUGAAAUGCGUAGAUAUAUGGAAGAACACCAGUGGCGAAGGCGGCUCUCUGGUCUGUAACUGACGCUGAGGCUCGAAAGCGUGGGUAGCAAACAGGAUUAGAUACCCUGGUAGUCCACGCCGUAAACGAUU
rnacentral:rRNA from 1 species